GGGCGAUUAGCUCAAUGGCCAGAGCGCUACCUUUACACGGUAGAUGUUACAGGUUCGAGUCCUGUAUCGCCCA
rnacentral:tRNA from 1 species